UACGUAGGGUGCAAGCGUUGUCCGGAAUUAUUGGGCGUAAAGAGCUCGUAGGCGGUCUGUCGCGUCUGCUGUGAAAACUCAGGGCUUAACCCUGAGCUUGCAGUGGGUACGGGCAGACUAGAGUGCGGUAGGGGAGACUGGAAUUCCUGGUGUAGCGGUGAAAUGCGCAGAUAUCAGGAGGAACACCGGUGGCGAAGGCGGGUCUCUGGACAGU
rnacentral:rRNA from 1 species